rnacentral:rRNA from 1 species
GACGAACGCUGGCGGCGUGCUUAACACAUGCAAGUCGAGCGGUAAGGCCCUUUCGGGGUACGACGAGCGGCGAACGGGUGAGUAACACGUGGGUGACCUGCCCUCCAGCUCUGGGAGUAAGCCUGGGAAACCGGGGUACUAAUACCGGAUAUGACUCCAUGACGCAUGUUGUGGGGUGGAAAGCCUUGUGCGGCUGAGGAUGGGCCCGCGGCCUAUCAGCUUGUUGGUGGGGUGAUGGCCUACCAAGGCGACGACGGGUAGCCGGCCUGAGAGGGCGACCGGCCACACUGGGACUGAGACACGGCCCAGACUCCUACGGGAGGGCAGCA